AAAUGCUGUGGGUCUUAGAGAAAAAGAUUACCAUCAGAGCUUAGGCACAGAGAAGCUGGUUAGAUCUUCCUGAAGUCCAUGAAUGACACCAGGAUUUAAGAUGACGGAAAUAGCUUAGAAAACAUAUCGAAGUGUUAAUUGGCUGUCUUUCAUAUGAAGUUUACCACCUGUUGGCUGAUACUGGUCCAAAUACCACCUCUACCCACUCCAGACCAUAAGCUCCACACAACCAGAAGACAGCUGAUCUGGGAUCCUGGGAAACACUGACUGCAGGGCUCAGUCUCUCCCUCUAAUGGAGAGCUGAGCUGGAGAAAGACAAAGGAUGGAGCUACCAUGCCCAAGCUCCUAGCCACAGCGCCUAUAGAUCAUGUCAUUGGAUACUCCAGAAAAUGAAUAUGUCUUGAAGUGCAUGGAGUGUGUGAUUAAAUCCCUGAGUAGGGUGAGUAUGACAUAAUAAUGCUUGACAAGUCCUUGAAGCGUUUAAAUAGCAAGCAAGGAAGAACAUGGUUUCCUGUAGCAUAAGGAGUUAGAACUUGAAGUACCAGAAUGGAAUUGGCAAAUGGAAACACUUGAAUGGCUUUCUAGAAAUAUUUCCUAAUGCAGUCAUAAGUUAGGACAGUGGAAUUGGUUUUCCAGAGGGGAGUGAUUGGAACAGGGGUUUCUGAAGUAAACAAAGAAAAGGCCUCAGGGAAUAUACCUAAUGAGUCAGCUAUUAUUAACUCUUUUCUUUAGGUCCAGCAUUAGAAAUAACAGUGUUACAUCUGCAUUCAGUAAAGUACACAUAUUAUC